GACGUAGGGGCCGAGCGUUGUCCGGAGUUACUGGACGUAAAGAGCGCGUAGGCGGCGCUGUACGACCGCUGUGAAAGCCCCCGGCUCAACUGGGGAGGUCAGUGGUAACGGCAGAGCUGUGAGUGCAGGAGAGGGAAGUGGAACUCCGGGAGUAGCGGUGAAAUGCGCAGAUAUCAGGAGGAACACCGGUGGCGAAGGCGGUUCUCUGGGCAUUACCUGACGCUGAGGAGCGAAAGUGUGGGAGCGAACAGG
rnacentral:rRNA from 1 species